rnacentral:rRNA from 1 species
AUUGAACGCUGGCGGCAUGCCUAACACAUGCAAGUCGAACGGAAACGAUGGGAGCUUGCUCCCAGGCGUCGAGUGGCGGACGGGUGAGUAACACUUGGGAAUCUGCCCAGUAGUGGGGGACAACAUUCGGAAACGGAUGCUAAUACCGCAUACGCCCUACGGGGGAAAGCGGGGGAUCUUCGGACCUCGCGCUAUUGGAUGAGCCUAAGUCGGAUUAGCUUGUUGGUGAGGUAAUGGCUCACCAAGGCGACGAUCCGUAGCUGGUCUGAGAGGACGAUCAGCCACACUGGGACUGAGACACGGCCCAGACUCCUACGGGAGGCAGCAGUGGGGAAUAUUGGACAAUGGGCGCAAGCCUGAUCCAGCAAUGCCGCGUGUGUGAAGAAGGCCUGCGGGUUGUAAAGCACUUUCAGUAGAGAAGAAAAGCCUAGGGUUAAUACCCCUGAGUCUUGACGUAACCUACAGAAGAAGCACCGGCUAACUCCGUG